UGGGGAAUUUCGGACAAUGGGCGAAAGCCUGAUCCAGCAAUGCCGCGUGAGUGAAGAAGGCCUUCGGGUUGUAAAGCUCUUUUGUCAGGGAAGAAACGGUGGGUUCUAAUACAGUCCGCUAAUGACGGUACCUGAAGAAUAAGCACCGGCUAACUACGUGCCAGCAGCCGCGGUAAUACGUAGGGUGCAAGCGUUAAUCGGAAUUACUGGGCGUAAAGCGUGCGCAGGCGGUUUUGUAAGUCUGACGUGAAAUCCCCGGGCUCAACCUGGGAAUUGCGUUGGAGACUGCAAGGCUAGAGUUUGGCAGAGGGGGGUAGAAUUCCACGUGUAGCAGUGAAAUGCGUAGAUAUGUGGAGGAACACCGAUGGCGAAGGCAGCCCCCUGGGGCAAGACUGACGCUCAUGCACGAAAGCGUGGGGAGCAAACAG
rnacentral:rRNA from 1 species